CCCCCUUAACACUUGGGCCUGUUUGCACAUGAUCAGUGUCGUCGACUCCUUGUAUGUCAUUGAUUUUAUUGUUUUCUGGUCCAAGAUGUAAUUGGUUGAAUCCAUGGAGAAGACCAUUAAGUUAUUUUAUGAUAAUGAAAGUUGGGGAUAACUAAUGAGUAACGGUUAUGAUAAAAUUUGCAAGUUAUUUUCUGAUGUAAGGCGAAGAAGGUGCCAACUCUGCUAGGUAAAUGUAAACACCUAAUUUUUUAUCAAACCUAAGUGUUUUUG
rnacentral:lncRNA from 1 species